AUCUAAUAUAUUACAAUUUUUAACUAAAACAUUCUUAUUUUAGUAUGGGCGACAGAACAAUAACCUCAGCGCAAUAGCUUAUGUACCGCAAGGGAACGCUGAAAAAGAAAUGAAACAAAUCAUUAAAGUACUAAAAAGCAGAGAUUAUACCUCGUACCUUUUGCAUCAUGAUUUAGCUAGAAAAAUUAGGCAAAAAGACUUUAAGUCUACCUCCCCGAAACUAAAUGGGCUACUCCGAAGCAGCAUUAUAGAGCCAACCCGUCUCUGUGGCAAAAGAGUGGGUGAAAAGCCUACCGAAUUUAGUGAUAGCUGGUUACCCAAGAAAAGAACUUCAAUCCUGCAUUAAUUUUUCUACCUAGACAAGAUUUACUCGUCAAAGAAUUUAUAAGAAUUAAUAGUUAUUCAGAAGAGGUACAGCCCUUCUGAACAAAGACACAACUUUUUAAGGUGGGAAAUGAUCAUAAUUAUUAAGGUUAUCCCCUCAGUGGGCCUAAAAGCAGCCACCUGUUAAGCAAGCGUCGUAGCUCCAGCAACCUUUAAUUUAGAUAUCUACUCACUACCCCCUUAUUUUAUAAAAAAGAACUUAUGCUAAAAUGAGUAAUAAGAGAACAAAUCUCUCCCGACACAAGUAUACAUCAGAAGAAUUAAUUCACUGAUAAUUAAACGACCCCAAACUGAGGUCACCAACUAGAAAACCCUAUUCCCC
rnacentral:rRNA from 1 species